rnacentral:rRNA from 1 species
GGAAUAUUGGGCAAUGGGCGAAAGCCUGACCCAGCGACGCCGCGUGAGGGAAGAAGGUCUUCGGAUUGUAAACCUUUGUAGACAGGGAAGAAGAAAGUGACGGUACCUGUAAAGUAAGCCACGGCCAACUACGUGCCAGCAGCCGCGGUAAUACGUAGGGGGCGAGCGUUGUCCGGAAUGAUUGGGCGUAAAGGGCGCGUAGGCGGCCCGGUAAGUCUGGAGUGAAAGUCCUGCUUUUAAGGUGGGAAUUGCUUUGGAUACUGUCGGGCUUGAGUGCAGGAGAGGUAAGUGGAAUUCCCAGUGUAGCGGUGAAAUGCGUAGAGAUUGGGAGGAACACCAGUGGCGAAGGCGACUUACUGGACUGUAACUGACGCUGAGGCGCGAAAGUGUGGGGAGCAAACA